rnacentral:rRNA from 1 species
GAUGAACGCUAGCAGGAGGCCUAACACAUGCAAGCCGAGCGGUAGAGUCUCUUCGGAGACUUGAGAGCGGCGCACGGGUGCGGAACACGUGUGCAACCUGCCUUUAUCUGGGGGAUAGCCUUUCGAAGGGAAGAUUAAUACCCCAUAAUAUACUGGAUGGCAUCAUCUGGUAUUGAAAACUCCGGUGGAUAGAGAUGGGCACGCGCAAGAUUAGAUAGUUGGUGAGGUAACGGCUCACCAAGUCAGCGAUCUUUAGGGGGCCUGAGAGGGUGAUCCCCCACACUGGUACUGAGACACGGACCAGACUCCUACGGGAGGCAGCAGUGAGGAAUAUUGGACAAUGGGUGAGAGCCUGAUCCAGCCAUCCCGCGUGAAGGACGACGGCCCUAUGGGUUGUAAACUUCUUUUGUAUAGGGAUAAACCUAGAUACGUGUAUCUAGCUGAAGGUACUAUACGAAUAAGCACCGGCUAACUCCGUG